CGGGCGGAAACACAACGACGCAGUCACGCACCGGCUCUUUCCUCCACCCCUCGUAGGGCUAGCUAGGGUUUCUCCGCCCAAAUCGUGUAAUAAUAACCCACUUGAAGAUUCGCGCGAACGCUGCGGCGAUGGCCACCACCGUCCAGCCCCACUCCCCGGACCCAACAGCCAUCACCACCACCCCUGCCCCACCCCCUCCCCCUUCUCCACCUCGCCAGGAGAACCCGACCGCCGCGGGGGAAGGCGUAGAGAUCGCGGCGCUCGAUGAGCAGCCUGCCGCCGUCGCCGUCGCCGACAAGGGGAAGACGGCCCCCGGCGGCGGGAAGCUGGUGGCGGAGGCCAUGCGCAAGUGCGCGGCGCCCCGGUCGUCGCGCUACCACGGCGUGACGAGGCUCAAGUGGAGCGGCAAGUACGAGGCACACCUCUGGGACAACACCAGCCAGGUUGAGGGGCGCAAGCGCAAGGGCAAGCAUGUGUACUUGGGAAGCUAUGUUACUGAAGAGAAUGCUGCAAGGGCACAUGACCUUGCAGCCCUGAAAUAUUGGGGCAUAACUCAACCCACCAAACUAAACUUCAAUAUUUCUGAUUAUGCAAAAGAAAUUGAGAUCAUGAAGAGCAUGAAUCAAGAUGAAUUUGUGGCCUACAUAAGGAGGCAGAGUAGUUGUUUCUCAAGAGGAACAUCGUCAUACAGGGGUGUAACAAGACGAAAGGAUGGUAAAUGGCAAGCACGUAUUGGUAGGAUUGGUGAGAGUAGAGACACUAAAGACAUCUAUCUUGGGACCUUUGAAACUGAAGUGGAGGCAGCUGAAGCGUAUGACCUAGCAGCAAUUCAGCUCCGUGGUGUUCAUGCUGUGACCAACUUUGAUAUCAGCAACUACUCCGAAGAAGGUUUGAAGAAACUAGAAGGCUCAUCCGAGGUAGUGAACCUGGAGGACCAAUCAGAAGUCACUAAGUUAGCUGUGACCAACUUGGAUAUUAGCCAACACUGCGAAGAUGGUUUGAAGAAACUAGAUGGCGCAUCCCAGAUAGUGAACCUGGAGGACCAAUCAGAAGUCACCAAGUUAUCUGUGACCAACUUUGAUAUUAGCAACUGCUGUGAAGAUGGUUUGAAGAAACUAGAUGGCGCAUCCCAGAUAGUGAACCUGGAGGACCAAUCAGAAGUCACCAAGUUAUCUGUGACUAACUUUGAUAUUAGCAACUGCUGUGAAGAUGGUUUGAAGAAACUAGAAGGCUCAUCCGAGGUAGCGAACCUGGAGGACCAAUCAGAAGUCACAAAGUUAGCUGGACAAUAGAUAUUAGAAUAGCAACAUGUAAAUUAUUUAUUUCUUCCUUUUUAUCUUUUCUCUGAUCGUCAGUCUCUCCACCUUUCUCUUUUCUUGAUUGAUGAUGAGAGUGUCUUUUCUUCGUCCACCUUUCCUGAAACUUUUUUUUCCCCAAGGAAUUUCCCUUCGCUGGUUGCCAACUCUAUUAUUUACCAGCUCCAGAGUAGGAUCGUGUGAUGCUGUACUCUGUAUUCUCAUGUACACUGAUUACAAACCAUUGAUAGUAUUUGUAGACAUUACAACACAAAGGAAGUUCAUUCUUCUAUUUUUGUAUAUUUGUUUUUAUCCUCC
rnacentral:rRNA from 1 species